UUCUCAUUUUAGAAGAUUUAAAUUCAACUGAAAUAUUAGACAACUAAUUUUUUUUAACUAAGUUCAACCAAGUCAAAUUUAUAUACGCACAUUUACGUUUUCAUUCUUGUUCUUUUUUUUCUCCUCAUCGUCCAUCAUCAUCAAAUUUAAGUUUAAUUACUCUACAAGUCUCUAUAAUUUCACCGAAUUUUCAAUUAGGUCCAUUUACUUUUUUUCUUUUCCACUGGAUCCUUAUAUCAUAUAAGUUUUUUAAAUUUAGUCUCUAUUAACGUUAAAUUUAAAAAAAAAAAAACAUAAGUGAGUUGUAACUUUACUUACCCAUGUCCCCACUGGCAUUGUUUGCUCCCCGUUACUUUUUCCACUCACCUCUUCUUCCAUCACAAUUCCAUCGUCAAUUUCAUCUCCUAUAACCUCAUCAUCAUCAAGCAUUCUCCCUGUCGAAUUCUCCUCGUCUAUUUUUUUAUCAUCUUUCUUAGAGACAUUAAGUCGAACAUCGGGUGAACUAACUCAUCAACCUUCACAUACAAUCCCUUGUUCUAAACCAUCAUUUGAUGACAUCACAUAUUUUUCAUAAUUCUUAAUCACAUUUUUAACAGCAUCAUUUUCAAAUUGUUCCUAUCUUCAUCAAGAAGCAUAGGAUAUUUAUGAUGAUAAGGAAUAGAGACAACCUACUCAUCAGUAUCUGGGUACAAACAUGGCUUGCCAAGAAGAAUGCAUAAUUGGAAGGUUGAGGUAUCGUCAAGCGUCACCCUUGCAACAUAGUAAUGGCCUCUCCUUCCCCACACUCUUAUUCUUCCUCUUUUUUUUCUAUUUUCUCCUAUAUUUGUUGAUUUUGGUUUUUUCCCUAGCUUUUAGUUAUAAUAAUUUUUUUUGUGAUGUGAUUCCUUUCCUUUGUUGUGCCAUUGUUCUUCUGUACGAAUGAUUUAGAUGUGGUCUAUUUAAAAAAUAAAAAAAAAUAAUUUUUGAACUUGAGAUAUUUUAAUUAGAAUUUAAGAUAUUUGAGUUUGUUAGUCUAAAAAAGACUUUCGACUAAAAAGAUAACUUGCCAAUUUAUAAUAGCUUAUUUAAGAAUUUAAGAUGACUAGUAAUUGAUGCAAUAAAUAUAAAAUAAAAAGGAUAAUUUUCUAGGUGUUUUCCAUGCUAGUCGUGGCCAUGCUAGCGGCUAUAUGGUCAAUAAUAUAUGCAAAUUCUGUAAAAUUAGCAAAUAAUUAGUCAAUAAAUUAAUUUUUAAUAAAAGAAAUUAGAAAUAUAAAUUUUAUAGUUUAAUAAAAUAGAGCUAAUUAAAAUAAGAAUUUUAACACUAAAUUCAAAAAAUUUGGCCAAAUAUUAAGCCAAAUGGAUCGGACCGAUCAAACUGGAUCCAAAAAGAGCCCAAGGCCCAACCCACUUUCCCCUAACUCAUUUCUUCCCUAAACCAAGGAAACACGUUCCUGGAGGGAGAGCAAGGGAAGAAGAGCUCUAACCCUUGGUUUUGAUUCUAACCCACAUAACUUUUCACUUCGAGUUCCGAUCGCCGUACUGUUUGUGGCCACGCGUCCGCAGUGACGAGCUCUAUAAAGCCCAGUGUAUAAUUUGGGUCCGAUUAGUUUGAGAAAAUUGCUCAGUCUUGCUUCUUUGGCGCUUGGGUAAGGUGUGUAAAUAUAUAAAUUGGAAGCUUGGUUUGGAUCUUGGUUGCAAAAUUUUGGUGUUAAGGGCUUGCUUCUUGCCUAAGUGGGUUGCCUUGGGUUAUACGAAGAAAUCGGCCAAGGUAUGGUUUAGGUUUCUCGUAUUUAAUAUAUAAUGUCUUGUGAAAACUCAGGCUAGAGGACCAUAUGAUAGGCUGGAAGGAUUAAGUAUGUUCAAUGCUUAGCACUUGUGAUAAGGAUUGAUAAUAUAGAUUGAGCAUGUGUUGGUGAUCAUUGUUAUGGUGGAAAUAGAAUACUAAAUGGUGAUUGAAUAAUGAUUGACAAGUUGAUGAUAUUGAUUAUGCAUAUAUGAUGGAUUCUUGAUAAUCUUGUUGAUUAAAGUGAGAAUUUCAGGUGUGAAAUUGUGUAAUAUGGAGGUAUGAUUGAUUGUGAUAUGAUGUGGAGAUUUUAGUGUUGUGUUAGUAUGAUAUGGUAUGUUGAUGUGCUAAAUAUAUGUAUAGGAGGUUGGGAUUGAGUUUGGUUUUUAAUGAAAAUAGAAGUUUGAGGAUUUUGUGUAAAUUUGAUUUUUUGGACAAACUUCAGCGAGCCAUAACUUGGCUUCCAGACCCCCAAAUUGUUUUAAACUUGUUUAAAAUGAAAAUUGGGUUCGUGAAGUUUACACCGUUCGAAGAACGGAUGAAAAAUGUUUUGACACAAAAAAAUUAUGUACGUCGGAAGUUUGGAGUGCAAAAUUGAAAAUUCUGUAACAUUUAGCAUUUUUGCUGUUCUGCAUAGCUUGCGUAUGCGACCACUGCACGCGAUACGACCAAACUCUCUGGGUUUGGCAUCUUGCGUACGCGGGCAGGGUGCUUGCGCACACAAGCAGUGGUUUUUGAGGGGUUGCGUACGCGACCACCCGCACGUGACACGAUCAAUUCUUCUGGGUUGGGCAUCUCGAGUACGCGUGGCCCCUGUUUCAGCAAACAUAAAUUUUGUGUUUUAAAGCUCAAUUUCGAACCUCUAAACCUCUAUUUCCAUUCUUUUAGCCCCAUAUCCUAAUAGUAAGUCUAGUAAUGAGAUGAAAUUAGGAAAAUGUAGUAACUUAGGGGUGAAGUAAAGUUGAAAAAUGAUUAAUUAUGUACGAAAAAUGCAAAGAAAUAAAGUAUAUAUGUUGCCAUGGCUGUGAAGAAUGAUUAUGCAAUGAUUAUAAAUGAUUAUGAACGUUUAUUGGCUUAUGCAUUCAAUUAUCUGAAAAUCAAUUAUUAACAAAAAUAUUGUGGAUUUAGGCUUAACAAGAAAAUCAAGCUUCUUCUUGCAUGGAAGAUUAAAAUGACUAUUGAUUAGAAUACACUAUAUCUUUCAUUAUAAAAUUAAAAUGAUAAUAGAUAACCAAAAUCUUAUUCAUAUGCUUGUACAUUUAUGAAAGCAUCUCCAAAUUUGCACAAGAAGGUGAGAAAUAAUAAUUGCUCUUAAAAGCAAAGUGCUAUGAACUACCAUAGAUACAAAUAUAACAAGUCUAAACUGAAAUUGAAAGGAAAAAAAAAAAGAAAAGAGAAAAGAAA